CAACACUAAAUAGGGUCAUCAGCCACAAUCAACACUACAACAGGGUUAUCAGCUAUGCUAAACAAAAAAUAGGGUCGACAGCCACCUUCAGCACUACAUAGAGUUAUCAGUCAAUAUCAACGCUACAGAGUUUUAUCAGCCAUGAUCAACACUACAUAGGGUUAUUAGCUACAAUAAACUCUACAUAGGAUUAUCAGCCAUGAUCAACACUACAUAGGGUUAUCAGCUAUCAGUUAUCAGCUAUGAUCAAUAUAACAUAGGGUUAUCAGCCAUGAUCAACACUACAUAAGGUUAUCAGCCAUGAUCAACACUACAUAGGGUUAUUAGCUGUGAUCAACGCUACAGAGCGUUAUCAGCCAUGAUCAACACUACAUCGGGUUAUCAGCAACAACUGAUAAUCAACAUAACAUAGGGCUAUUAGUAAUGAUCAACACUAAAUAGGGUUGACAGCCACCAUCAACACUACAUAGGGUUAUCAGCCGUGAUCAACACUACAUAGGGUUAUCAGCCAUGAUCAACACUACAUAGUGUUAUUAGCUGUGAUCAACGCUACAGAGUGUUAUUAGCCAUGAUCAACACUACAUAGGGUUAUCAGCCGUGAUCAACACUACAUAGGGUUAUCAGCAAUGAUCAACACUACAUAAGGUUAUCAGCUGUGAUCAACACAACAUAGGGUCAUCUACUAUGAUGAAUAGUACACAGGGGUUAUCAGCUACGACCGAUGAUCUACACUACACAAGGUCAUCACCACUACUUUGGGUAGACAGCACUGAUCAAUAUACUGUAUAGGGCUCUCAGCUCAUGAUGAACUAAAUAAUAGUACAAAAAAAGGCACCGGCCAAAAAAAUAUCCAAUAUCUAAUAAUAUAGACAAUUCAACAUUUUUUAUAUACAUUAUUACCUGAUUAAUAAAGCAUAUUUUUUUUAAAUCUUAGAAGUGUUAAGCUCACUAAAAUCAGGUUAUAAAUGAGGUUUCAGUAUAAACAGAGAAUGUUUACUAUAGGCAAAAAGGGUUUGAUUCGUUGCAGUCCAGUUGACUUAUUGUUUUUGCAGUAGUUUAAUUAAGCCUAUGCAGAGAUUUUUACGAAUGAAAAAUGGGAUAAUAUUUGACAAAAUUUACAAAUAAAAUCAGACUAAAAGCAAUUCAUCUCAAAUGACUAGAUUCUAUGCCAUAAUUACAUUACACAAAGGUUAUGGCAGCAGUUUAACAAAUCAUACAAAAUGGCACAAAUAUUUUUUGAGAAAUUAAAAAGGAACACAAACAAUUUUGGAAAGAAAUGCAAGCUUGAAUAAUAUAUCUUUCAAAUGAUUAUAUAUGUUAACCAGUGUUCACAGCAAAAAUAAAAGCAUAAUGAUUGCUACAUGAAAAAUAUUCAUGGAAGCAAAAAUACGAAAAAGGAGAUUACCUGUGAAAAAUGCUGAAUUUCAAUCUGAAAGCUUAGGCAGUUUCACACUAAAAGAUGACAUAUGUACACCUACAUGUACAGAAGGCAUGUCUGAUGACCAGAAGGUAUGUCUGAUGAACAGAGGUAUGUCUGAUGACCAGAAGGUAUGUCUGAUGACCAGAAGGUAUGCCUGAUGACCAGAGGUAUCAGUAUGUCUGCUGACCAGAAGAUAUGUCUGCUGACCAGAGGUAUUUCUGAUGACCAAAAGGUAUGUCUGAUGACCAGAAGCAUUGUCUGAUGACCAAAAGGUAUGUCUGAUAACCAGAAGGUAUGUCUGAUGACCAAAAGGUAUGUCUGAUGACCAGAGGUAUGUCUGAUGACCAGAAGGUAUGCCUGAUGACCAGAGGUAUGUCUGAUGACCAGAAGGUAUGUCUGAUGACCAGAAGGUAUGUCUGAUGACCAAAAGGUAUGUCUGCUGACCAGAGGUACCAGUAUGUCUGAUGACCAGAAGGUAUGCCUGAUGACCAGAAGGUAUGUCUGAUGACCAGAAGGCAUGUCUGAUGACCAGAAGGUAUGUCUGAUGACCAGAAGGCAUGUCUGAUGACCAAAAGGUAUGUCUGAUGACCAGAAGGUAUGCCUGAUGACCAGAAGGUAUGUCUGAGGACCAGAAGGCAUGUCUGAUGAC